CAGGCCUAACACAUGCAAGUCGAGCGGGGUGAUGUAGCUUGCUACAUUACCUAGCGGCGGACGGGUGAGUAAUGCUUAGGAAUCUGCCUAUUAGUGGGGGACAACAUUCCGAAAGGAAUGCUAAUACCGCAUACGCCCUACGGGGGAAAGCAGGGGAUCUUCGGACCUUGCGCUAAUAGAUGAGCCUAAGUCAGAUUAGCUAGUUGGUGGGGUAAAGGCCUACCAAGGCGACGAUCUGUAGCGGGUCUGAGAGGAUGAUCCGCCACACUGGGACUGAGACACGGCCCAGACUCCUACGGGAGGCAGCAGUGGGGAAUAUUGGACAAUGGGCGAAAGCCUGAUCCAGCCAUGCCGCGUGUGUGAAGAAGGCCUUUUGGUUGUAAAGCACUUUAAGCGAGGAGGAGGCUACUUGGAUUAAUACUCUAGGAUAGUGGACGUUACUCGCAGAAUAAGCACCGGCUAACUCUGUGCCAGCAGCCGCGGUAAU
rnacentral:rRNA from 1 species